rnacentral:lncRNA from 10 species
AAUGAGUCUGCCACCUCUCCUUGUACCUAUCCACUGUGAAACAAGGGCGUUCAUGCACACGUUACUGUAAAUGCCCUGGAGGCCUUAUGAAUAAUCAUUGGAGCAGUAUCUGCUGCAAGAUAACAUUGUGCUUUAUUUUUGCCUUUAAGUAAAAGGAAUCUGAAAUGAAACAAUCUUCAUUUCAGAUAUAAAUCAGCCCCAUAAACUUGAAGCUAACCAGAGAUCCUGAGGCAUUCUCAUUACAUGAAGUAAUUGGUUGGUUGCAAGACUCAAUUGUACUGCAAAGUCUUCCUGAGAAUUCAGAUGAGCAGUUAUCUGAAGAGUUACACAUCCUCUCACCCGACAUGUUGUAGGAACACAUAGCAUUGGCCAGUGGGGCGAAUGAUUUCUAGUCUCUGAUGAGGCCGGAACUCUCCAGCAAGUGGGCCUAUGACUGAGAAACCCCGGGCAACUUUGAGGUCCCUUUGAGGAAAUGAAACUUCAUCAAAAGCAGCCAAUAUUAAUGAUAUAUUGAGCAUCUAUUGUGUACAUCCAGUCUUCUAGUCUCCUUGGUGACAUUCAUCUUAUUUAACCUUCCCAGUAAAUCAGCAAAAUAAGUACCAUUACCCUCUUUUAUGGAAUAAAACUAAAACUCACAGAGGUUGAGUAACUUUUGAAUCACUCAACCUUCUCAACGCAUGAAGAAAAAAUCCGACCCAAACAAGAGACAUUGGAGAGGCUUAUUCUUCUUUUUUCGACUUUUU